rnacentral:tRNA from 1 species
GCCUAGCUAGCUCAAUCGGCUUAGAGCGUGAGACCUUUAAUCUCAAGGUUGCGGGUUCGAGUCCCGCGUUGGGCU